rnacentral:misc_RNA from 1 species
CGGAAACACGGUGCCGGAUAACGUCCGGCGGGGGCAACCUCAGGGAAAGUGCCACAGAAAGCAAACCGCCGGGUCUUCGGAUCGGGUAAGGGUGAAAGGGUGGGGUAAGAGCCCACCGCGUCUCUGGCAACAGCGGCGGCACGGUAAACCCCACCGGGAGCAAAACCGAAUAGGGAUGACGCGGAUCGCGAAAGCGGUCCAGCCCGUUUCCGGGCCGGUCAUCCGGGUGGGUUGCACGAGGCGGCGCGCAAGCGUCGUCCCAGAUGAAUGGCUGCCACGUUCCGGCCUCGGCCGGAG